rnacentral:sRNA from 10 species
UUUUAUGGAUAAUAAAAACCAUAAAGAUGCUUGGAUUAAUUUCACUAAAUUUGUGUUGUGGG